GUGUCAGCAGCCGCGGUAAUACGGAGGGGGCUAGCGUUGUUCGGAAUUACUGGGCGUAAAGGGCGCGUAGGCGGCGAUUUAAGUUAGGCGUGAAAGCCCCGGGCUUAACCUGGGAACUGCGCUUGAUACUGGAUUGCUUGAGGACGGGAGAGGGUAGUGGAAUUCCCAGUGUAGAGGUGAAAUUCGUAGAUAUUGGGAAGAACACCAGUGGCGAAGGCGACUGCCUGGCCCGUUACUGACGCUGAGGCGCGAAAGCGUGGGGAGCAAACAGGAUUAGAUACCCUGGUAGUCCACGCCGUAAACGAUGAGUGCUAGACGUUGGGGAACAUGGUUUCUCGGUGUCGCAGCUAACGCAUUAAGCACUCCGCCUGGGGAGUACGGCCGCAAGGUUAAAACUUAAAUGAAUUGGCGGGG
rnacentral:rRNA from 1 species